GUUGAUGUAGUCAAUGACUGGCUCGUCCUUCCACUGCUUUGUGCUCGUUAGCUCUAGCAUGCUCACAGUGCGACGGGUGCUGUAGAAGCGGUUGAGGAAUUCCCGCUCCAAUUGCUCCCAGCUGUUGAUGGACUCAGGCUCUAGGUCCGUGUACCACUCAAAGGCGUUUCCUUUCAGCGAGCGCACAAACUGCUUGGCAAGGUAGUC
rnacentral:lncRNA from 1 species